UGGACAUCAGGAUGGACGCAGAAGAAAGGUGUCAAGAGUAGCACGGGAAUAUCUCUCUGACCAUCUAGGGGUCUGUUGCUGACUCGGUGCCUCCUUGUCCUGCGUACUCCCAGGUCAGGACAUCGGCUUGACUGGUGGCCACCUGCUGACCUCAGAGCCCUCGGAGCGAAUCCAGCUGUCCAAUUGAAACCAAGCAUGGUCCUCUGCGGCUUGGCCUCUUUUUCUCCCGAGAUGGUUGCGGGGCACUUAUUGGGUGAAGACCCUCAUUCAUUCUGGGGUGUGUCAGGAGUUUCUUCGAGACAGGACCAAGCUAUGAGCCUGUGGCAGGAGCAUCCGAGGCACAGCUCAGCCUCUCCCGUGCUGCACACCCCUGUGUGCAGGUGCCCUUGCCCGCAGCCGCGGCUCCAGGUCCGCGUGGAGUCAGCUGCUGCUGUCAAGCAUUUUCACAGUACAGUUACUGGUCUACUCCAGCACAGUCACGAGGCACCUUGAGAGGCUGCAAAAGACCCCUAAAGUCUUCCGCAUCUUUAUCAUUCCUCAAGGGAUGGGUUCCAGGACCCCCGAGUUUAACCCACCUGCAGGAGCUCAAGUUCCUGAUGUAAAAUGAUGUCGGAUUUGCAAGUAACCUGCACACAUCCUCCCGGUACUUUAAAUCAUCCCUGGAUUAUUCAUUGUACCGAAUACAAUGGAAAUGCUAUGUAAAUAGUUGUUACACUGUGUUGUUAUUUUUAUUUGUAUUUUUUCUAUAUUGUUAUUUUUUAU
rnacentral:lncRNA from 10 species